rnacentral:rRNA from 1 species
GUAGGUGGCAAGCGUUGUCCGGAAUUAUUGGGCGUAAAGUGCGCGCAGGUGGUUCUUUAAAGUCUGAUGUGAAAGCCCCCGGCUCAACCGGGGAGGGUCAUUGGAAACUGGGGAACUUGAGUGCAGGAGAGGAAAGUGGAAUUCCACGUGUAGCGGUGAAAUGCGUAGAUAUGUGGAGGAACACCAGUGGCGAAGGCGACUUUCUGGCCUGUAACUGACACUGAGGCGCGAAAGCGUGGGGAGCAAACCAGGGAUUAGAUACCCUGGUAGUCCACGCCGUAAACGAUGAGUGCUAAGUGUUGGGGGGGGUUUUACCCGGCCCCCGUCAGUGCUGCAGCUAACGCAUUAAGCACUCCGCCUGGGGUAGUACGGUCGCAAGACUG